GGUUCAACUCGUCCUGACUCAACGACGGUUCCUUCCUCAGUUUCCCCGAUCCCUGACGGCUCUCACGACUUAGCUUUGACUCGUUUUCACUAAAAAUCUCGGACUUAUUCAUCUUCUCCGGAGGCGGCGGAGGUGAGGUGGCGCCAUCGAGACGCAAGUGACUGUCCCACGUGUCGAAUUUCUUGAGGUGUCUGGUUAACGGCAUUGGACGGCUGUCUGUUAUCAUCUUCCACGUGCUCUCCAAGGUAUCAUUUCGUUUCGGUUUCGAUACGCCCAACAGGACUGCCUUCCCGGCUUCAGGAUUUGCUUUCACUGGCGAUUUCUUGAAUUUGGAGCCAAACCUUGCAGACACCAGUGGUUUCUUUUUCUCUUCUUUUUCAACCAGGAACUCCAUAGAAUCACUCCUCUGUGCAGGCUGCACCGAUUUGAAAGAAACCAAAGCCUUAUCACUACCUUGCGUCACCGUUAUCUCUUUCUCUACAACCUCACCCUUCUCCCUUUUGUGUGCACCAUUCACCGAACUAUCAUCCACCGGCACAACCUUGUCUAUCACAAUCAAAUCUUGGUACCCAGAUCCGCACUCAACAACGCCGUCAAUAUAGUCAGAUGGUAUAUCGCCAGAGGCCUUCGGUACCUCCACCGCCAGCAUUGGUGGGGGGAUUAUCUCCUGUUGUUUUGAGGGUUCCUCAGGUUUUUGGAGCUGGAGUUUGGAGGAAGCGACGAUUGAGAUGAUUAUGCCAUUAAUGACCAAAUAAAGAUAUGGAGGCCGAAGCCAAGAGAUAACAGAGCUAUACAUGAGAGGAAGUUCAUGCACAGCAAAAUCUGUCACCACUGGAACAGAUAACUUUAACAUCACCGCAACAGAUAACACACAGGUCGAAAUUAAAGCUAUUUUAAGAGAGAGGACUAAUCCAGAACCGGGUGCAGGAUACGACAUAACUUUUCGAGGGAAAGAGAGCUUCAAGCUCAAGACUGUCGAGGUGGGUUUGAGAGGGCCUCAGUGCAAAGCCAGGGACAAAAGUGCGCAGAAGGGAAAAAGAGAGCAGUAAAGAAGAGCCGCCUAUUUUAAGAGAGAGGACUAAUCCAGAACCGGGUGCAGGAUACGACAUAACUUUUCGAGGGAAAGAGAGCUUCAAGCUCAAGACUGUCGAGGUGGGUUUGAGAGGGCCUCAGUGCAAAGCCAGGGACAAAAGUGCGCAGAAGGGAAAAAGAGAGCAGU
rnacentral:misc_RNA from 1 species